GACGAACGCUGGCGGCGUGCUUAACACAUGCAAGUCGAACGCUGAAGCUUGGUGCUUGCACUGGGUGGAUGAGUGGCGAACGGGUGAGUAAUACGUGAGUAACCUGCCCUUGACUCUGGGAUAAGCCUGGGAAACUGGGUCUAAUACUGGAUACGACAUGUCACCGCAUGGUGGUGUGUGGAAAGGGUUUUACUGGUUUUGGAUGGGCUCACGGCCUAUCAGCUUGUUGGUGGGGUAACGGCUCACCAAGGCGACGACGGGUAGCCGGCCUGAGAGGGUGACCGGCCACACUGGGACUGAGACACGGCCCAGACUCCUACGGGAGGCAGCAGUGGGGAAUAUUGCACAAUGGGCGGAAGCCUGAUGCAGCGACGCCGCGUGAGGGAUGACGGCCUUCGGGUUGUAAACCUCUUUCAGCACGGAAGAAGCGAAAGUGACGGUACGUGCAGAAGAAGCGCCGGCUAACUACGUG
rnacentral:rRNA from 1 species